CAUGCCUCCCUUCCCUCUCUUCUCCUCUUCCCUUCUCUCCUCCCUCCUCCACAGCCGGCACACCACCACCAGGCCACCUGCCUCAUUUUUUUUCCUCCACCAUGAGCAGACCAAGCCUCCCUCCCCCACGAGGAGUCACGUCUGCAGCACCCCCUCUCGCCCAGCCUACCGCCAGCAAACAAGGAUGCAGGCAGCCGGUUUUUGGCCUCGUGCCACCACCUCCACGACCUUCACUCACUUCUUCACCCUCUUGCUAGUUUUAUUUUUGUUCCCAAUUCAUAAGAGGAAAGUAGAACCUUAGUGGGGUGACUUUAGUAACUUUUGGUUGUGCAGUGACGCUUGCAGGAGGAUCAUAACUUGGCAUAACAGGUAUAGGAACUUCUUUUGCAUGGCAUUGGGGAAAAAAUAGAGUGCAAUUGUAGCCAUUACUAUACGAUUAGCCUGAUGUUGUAGCUCUUGUAUUAUUUGUUAAGUUUUGGAUUGUAUAAUUCUUUUGUAUGAAACCAUGAGACUCCUUGUAUGAUUCAUGUUCCGCUGUGUAGUUUUGGAUGUAUGCCCGUAAAACUACUUCUUUUGUAGCCGUUAAAACUGAUGCGUUAACACUGGAACCACGAUCUGUAUUGGAGUUGAUGAUUUGAGGAGCCGACGAUGAUUCAUUCCGUCAUGACAUAUUUUGGAAGGCAUUGAGGUCUUGGAUUGUUUUAGUUGUGUUAUCUUAUUUACUUACUUGGUCACACCCUCAACUUUUAGAAGAGAUGCUACCGAAAUUACCACUCACUCACCUUUUUAAGUUAAUCUUUAACGUGUAUUUAAAUUCUUUUCUUUUCUUUUCCUUUUAUGUAACACCCGAACUUCCUCCCGUCCCUCGCAAUUUUUGCUUUCAUUAAAGGGGUUGGAAAUUCAGGGGUGUU